GAAGGAAAGCUCAAACAGUCGUUUACGCCCAGAGGUUGAUACAUCAAACACCAAAUGAUUCACAAUCAUAAUAAAAACAAAAUUAAAAAAAAAAAGGCAAAUCAUUUAUGGCACAAAACUGAUAUUUCAGAAAUGAAGGCGACAGUAACUUUAUUUUUUCCCAAAACCAAGCAGAUUGAUAAUGCCAUUUUAAAAAUAAUUAUUUUAGCCUGGCCCAUUGGCUCAGGCACCAAAACGGGGCCGAUUUCUGAGGAAGUGACAGAAAAACAAAUGGACGGACCCAGGUUCAGGGGCAGGGUCAGGGGCAGAAUGGACGGACCCAGGUUCAGGGUCAGGGGCAGAAUGGAUGGACCCAGGUUCAGGGUCAGGGGCAGAAUGGAUGGACCCAGGUUCAGGUUCAGGGUCAGGGGCAGAAUGGACAGACCCAGGUUCAGGGUCAGGGGCAGAAUGGACGGACCCAGGUUCAGGGUCAGGGGCAGAAUGGACGGACCCAGGUUCAGGGUCAGGGGCAGAAUGGACAGACCCAGGUUCAGGGUCGGGGCAGAAUGGACGGACCCAGGUUCAGGGUCAGGGGCAGAAUGGAUGGACCCAGGUUCAGGGUCAGGGGCAGAAUGGACGGACCCAGGUUCAGGGUCAGGGGCAGAAUGGACGGACCCAGGUUACCUCCGGCUGCCUCGGGCAGGAAUGGCCCUGAAGCUCACUCAUAAUGAUUACACCACACAAACACU